rnacentral:rRNA from 1 species
AAUCAACGCUGGCGGCGUGCCUAACACAUGCAAGUCGCACGAGAAAGGGGAGCAAUCCCCGAGUAAAGUGGCGCACGGGUGAGUAACACGUGAUUAUCUACCUCCGAGUGGGGAAUAACUGAGAGAAAUACUUAGCUAAUACCGCAUAACACUUACGAGUCAAAGCAGCAAUGCGCUUGGAGAGGAGUUCGCGGCCGAUUAGUUAGUUGGCGGGGUAAUGGCCCACCAAGACGAUGAUCGGUAUCCGGCCUGAGAGGGCGCACGGACACACUGGAA